UGUGCCAGCAGCCGCGGUAAUACGUAGGUGGCGAGCGUUAUCCGGAAUUAUUGGGCGUAAAGCGCGCGCAGGCGGUUUCUUAAGUCUGAUGUGAAAGCCCACGGCUCAACCGUGGAGGGUCAUUGGAAACUGGGGGACUUGAGUGCAGAAGAGGAAAGCGGAAUUCCACGUGUAGCGGUGAAAUGCGUAGAGAUGUGGAGGAACACCAGUGGCGAAGGCGGCUUUCUGGUCUGUAACUGACGCUGAGGCGCGAAAGCGUGGGGAGCAAACAGGAUUAGAUACCCUGGUAGUCCACGCCGUAAACGAUGAGUGCUAAGUGUUAGAGGGUUUCCGCCCUUUAGUGCUGCAGCUAACGCAUUAAGCACUCCGCCUGGGGAGUACGGCCGCAAGGCUGAAACUCAAAGGAAUUGACGGG
rnacentral:rRNA from 1 species